AUACGGAGGGUGCAAGCGUUGUCCGGAUUUAUUGGGUUUAAAGGGUGUGUAGGCGGUGUAUUAAGUCAGUGGUGAAAGCCUGCGGCUCAACCGUAGAACUGCCAUUGAUACUGACACACUCGAGUAUGGACGAGGUGGGCGGAAUUUAUGGUGUAGCGGUGAAAUGCAUAGAUACCAUAAAGAACACCGAUAGCGAAGGCAGCUUACUAGGCCAUAACUGACGCUGAGGCACGAAAGCGUGGGGAGCGAACAGGAUUAGAAACCCCAGUAGUCC
rnacentral:rRNA from 1 species